rnacentral:rRNA from 1 species
ACUGGCAAGCUUGAGUCUCGUAGAGGGGGGUAGAAUUCCAGGUGUAGCGGUGAAAUGCGUAGAGAUCUGGAGGAAUACCGGUGGCGAAGGCGGCCCCCUGGACGAAGACUGACGCUCAGGUGCGAAAGCGUGGGGAGCAAACAGGAUUAGAUACCCUGGUAGUCCACGCCGUAAACGAUGUCGACUUGGAGGUUGUGCCCUUGAGGCGUGGCUUCCGGAGCUAACGCGUUAAGUCGACCGCCUGGGGAGUACGGCCGCAAGGUUAAAACUCAAAUGAAUUGACGGGGGCCCGCACAAGCGGUGGAGCAUGUGGUUUAAUUCGAUGCAACGCGAAGAACC